AACGUCUCAAAUCAGGCAAGAAGACCCGCUGAACUUAAGCAUAUCAAUAAGCGGAGGA
rnacentral:rRNA from 1 species